CACGACACAAACUAGGGUUUUUCUCAUCUCACAUUUCCUCUCAUCCUCUGCUCUCUCUCUCUCUCUCUCUACGGUGAUUGCAGCGACUUCAUCAGGCCUCUCUCUCGGAUCUCGCCAGAUCUCUCACCAGAUCUGUGAGGAUUUCACCAGAUCGAUGAAGGGUUUGCCAUUUCAACCAUCUCCCUGCUUCUCUCUCAAAAAAGAUCUAGGGUUUCUCUAGGCGGAGCCGAGCCACUGGCUCACUGCGACCUCGCCGGCGGUUUGAUCCUUCCAUGGAACCAAAUAGUCCGAGCCGUGUAGGCUGCUCAUAUCACCAAAUCCGGUUUCAGUGGCACUCUUUUCGUUUUUGGGAGUGAAGAACAAGCAGAUCCGGUAUCCUAACUUGAUUUACCGGGUUGCUUUGAACUUUUACAUGUGUGGACCUCUGAUGGCGUUGUGUUCAAGUACGGCUCUAAGCCUAUUCAGAACUUUCUAUACAGAUUGAUGAUGUGUUGUCUUAUAUGAUAUGUUUGAGGAAGAACUGAUCAGCCUGCAGCCCUACAUCAACUUCAAAAUGUGAUUCAACAUCAACAUCAGAUGGUAUUUUGGCUCGCAAUAAAAAGAUGAACUUUAUGUCUUCUAGGAUGGCUCUUAUUCGAGGGGUCCAGUUGACAUACCUGUUGGAGAAGUUAAUGAUUCCAACUACUUUUUAUCCCCAACGUUCAAGUUUGAGCAAGUAAGUUCUUUUUGGUGGUUUCCUUUUGCAGGAUAUAUUACGAAUCUUAUUGUUUAUCUUUCAUGUUAUGCAUAGUGGUGUGAAUAUGUAGGGUUGCUUAAGUUCUGGUUUUGACUAAAAAAGAAAACCAAACCAAACCAAAUUGUAUCUGGAUUUAAAUUGUAUUCAAUUUAGGGAUCUUAAUAUGGUUGGGAUCCGAAACCGAAUUUCAUCAUUUGUUUUUGGUUUGAUUUUCGAAUUAAAGGUUUCCAAACAAAACCAAACUGAACACUGGUAUAUAUAUAUAUAGCUAUACUAUAUAUAAUAUACAUAUCCAAAGGACUUUGUAGUCUACGAGCCCUAACUUUUUAACUUUUUUACUGUUUUUCUGAUGGAAACCGAGAAUGGAGGUUGAGAGGCUUUACGACGUCGUUUCCGGUGCUCAGAAAUCUGUUUAUUGGCUUAUGUUUUUGGUACCAUGUCUCUCUUUUUGCCACUUGGAAACAAAGGGGAAUGCAUUUCUCAGUUGCUUCUGGUUCUUAGCAAAAUGAAUUUGGUUUUCAGUUAUGUGCCUGAAUUUUAUUUAGAAACUCUGGUUGAUUGUUUUCAUGUUUUGCGAAAGAGUGAUCCUCCUUUUGUUUAUAAAACAAGGACUUGGUUCAUUUGUUACUUUUGUGGUUACCCAUUUCAGCGACCCGAGAAUAUCAAGCACAGAACUAAGAGAUCUACUUCUGCAAUCAAUUUCUGUAUUAGUUCAGUACAAAGAGUUUUUGGCUGCUUUUGAGAGCAACCGAGCAGCAACUCGUAGCCUCCCAACAUCACUUUUAUCAGUCUUUGAUAAACGAUCAUGGAUUCCUGUAACGAUUUGAGUUGUGGCUGCAAGUUUUGUAUCGGGUUACAAGUUGUUGGAUUCGGCUCAAGAAGGUGGCGACCCAUGUUUGCCGGUUGCAUGGUCAUGGUUGGAGUGUAAUUCAGAUCGUGAACCGAAGAUUAUAUCGGUCCGGUUGGUGCAAUCACUCCAUGUAAUUUCUCCAUCGCAAUGAUUGCUCGCAAGGUUGGCCCUGCUCUUGCCUGUGGCUGUACUGUGGUCAUAAAGCCCUCUGAGCUCACACCAUUGACCGCCUUAGCAGCAGCUGAGCUGGCCCUUCAAUCUGGAAUUCCGCCUGGUGUCUUGAAUGUGGUCAUGGGAUAUCCUCCUAGCAUUGGUGAUUCUCUACUAUAGAGCACACAGGAUGGCAAUAUGGUUAGAUCGUUGAUAGCUGAUAUCCGUAAUUAAUCCAAGUAUCAUUUAGGAGCGGAUUUGUUAAGCUCAGGUUCGGUAGUUGGGGAAUCGUUAUUGAAAGAUCUUUGGCAACAUCAAGAUGCCAUUUUGUGUUGUUCUCUAAAGCCGUAAAGCAAUCACCAGUCAGAGAGCUUGCUUUUUGCAUGCAGCUGUAAAUGAAUAAUAACUAUUCAGAGUUGUGAGUUGUCUGACAUGGAGCAUGCUUGGAAGUCUAUAAAUUCAACAUCAAGCUCAACACUCUACAAGCACUCAACUGAGAUGAUUUAAACCUUCAAAUUAAUAUCAAUACUCCUUUCAUCUGGGUCUUGCGUUGUUUCUCGGCUCUUCACAUCAAGGUCUUACAUUUUUUGUCGGCUUUUUACAUCUCUCUCUUGCAUUGUUGAAUAUUGUAGGUUAUGUGGUGAAUCGGAUCCGAUCCGAAAACUGGGACAAAAUGCCAUAGCUGCCGCCUCCAUCAUGAUGGCUAGGGUUCUGAUGAGUUGAAUCUGGUGAAGCAUAUCCGCAAGUCACAUGCCAUCUGUUUUCGCAUAGCCAUUGCUUCUGCAUUUGCUCCACAUAAUUCAUCUGUUAGGGAGGGACGAUACGGGAUCCCUAGAACAGGCCCUUGUUGUGCUGGUACAUGGUAUGGGUCCAAAUUAGGAGCUUAUAAGUAAUGGCGCUGUUGAUGUGUGUAUCUUAAGUCUACCUUGCUAAAUCGUGUGAGAUCGGGCUGCGAGACCAGGAACAAUGUGCUUCUUGCUGUUCCGGCACUUGUCUAUUCUAUCAAUAACUACUUGAAGUUCAUCAUGCAGCAACUGUAAAGAUGCUGAGCAAUCUAAAGGUUCUGGUUAUUGCAGUUUUGCUAAAGAUAAUAAUGAAACGUCAAUUUUCCAUUAUUCAGAUGAUGACAAGGAGGUCGACAAAGAAGCAUUAUGGCAGAGAUUGAAGUACUAAGAAAGGAGAGCUCCUGGGAUAAAUGGCACAAUUCAGUGGUGAGGGCCCAGAUGGAGCAAUGAAACAAAUACGGAACCUGGAUAACCUGUAUUGGAGAUUUGGGCUUAACUUGGGGACAAAUGACAUAUCUAAGAACACAGAAGAGAGAGAGAUAGAAAGAGAUAUCUGGAGUUAGAGAGAGAAAAGAGGAGCUACAAGAGGAGAGAGAGAGAACGGUGAUGGCAGCUGUUAGGGUUCCGGCCGUGAAACCGACUUUUCAUUUUUCUGGUCUGGUGAAUCAGGAGAGCAAAUUCUUGAAGUAUUUAGGAUUUAUGUGGAACACAUUAUCAUGGGUUAUGGAAGCUGCUGCUAUUAUGGCGAUUGACAUUGCAAAUUGAGGAGGAAAGCCGCCUGAUUGGCAGUCUUUUGUGGGUAUUAUCACUCUGCUCAUAAUCAAUAACAAAGUUAGUUUCAUUGAAGCAAAGAAAGCUGGUAAUGUAGCAGCUCGCAAGGCCAGUCUUGCCCCAGGUAUCCUAUCCUUUGUUCUUCAUAAUGUAAAAAGUGCGAACAUGGUUAAAUCGAGGCGAUUGCGAUUGCUACUAGGGUUCAUAUGUUCUUUAGGAGAGUUGCUUAUAUUGUUGAUAGCACAAAUCAAGCUGGUCACUUUCAAAAACUAAACAUGAAAAAGAAUCAAACCAAUUAUUUUGUUUCAUUGGUGUAUGUUUCGAAUCUUGCACACAACAAACAGACAUAGAACGCCAGUUCAAGGCGUCAUUGAUUAAUCUGCAGACUGCGGAUUAAGGUCACUUGCUGUAGCGUACCAGAAAGUUCUAGAGGAGCAUUAGGCGAGUCCUGGAGGACCGUGGCAAAUCGUUGGGCUAAUGCUGCUCUUUGAUCUGCCACAUCAUGACAAUGCUGCAACUACAUGUUAUGUGGUGUUACAUCCACAAGUCAAAGGGGCCAGUAAUGGGUAUCAAUUACGACACACAGGUGGAUCUUUGAGUAAUGUGCUGCUAAUAGAUGAACUAAAUCCUUAGACAUAACUUAGACUGUGGGGUAUGGGGCGUGGCCCUUGGGGCUUGGGCAAGGUUUAAAAAAACGGAAACGAGUUUCGAGGCGUUUUCCCUUCGCCUCACGAGGCGUAAGCCUUGAGGCGAACCGAGGUGUAAGCCCGAGUCGGAGUUAAAAAAUAAAUAUAAAUAUUAUAUAUCUUAUAAAAAUAGUAAUAGUAACUAAAUUCAUCAUCAAAUUCAUCAAAAUAAUCAAAAACACACAUAAAAAAGACAUAAAUUGCUUGAAAUUGACACAAAAACUCAAAAACAUCAAAAACAUAUAUCAAAAACCCCUGAGGCGCACCUGACCUCAGCCCCUCUGAGGCGCACAUACAGUAUACACCCCCUGAGGCGCGCCUCAGAAUCGUUUUUCGGCCGUUUCGCCUUGAGGCGCGCCUCGAGGCGCACGCCUCAGCCGUUUUUUAAAACCAUGGGCUUGGGUUUGAAGCCGGGCGUGGGGCGGGCUUGAGAUCCGAUGUGGCGGCCUCCUAUUCGCUGUCCACCGCCUUGUCAUGGCGGGUGUUUGCAAUUUUUUUUUAAUAAACUGCCAAGCCACGCCCCCAACCCAAGCCCCGCCAUACCCCACGGACACGUCACUCACCGGUGGAAGGGCUCCAACUCCACAUGUCAACUCAUGCCCCCAACCCAACCCAAGCCCCACCAUACCCCACGGUCUUAAUGCUCAAAUUGUUAGUAGGUUGAGUGGUCACAUUUCCCUAAGACUUUCUGUUUUCACCAAGAAUUCCUAACCUGCAUUGUAUACUGAAAAAAAAAAAAAGAAUUCAAGCAUUUCAAUCAGAUGGUAACAGAAGAAGAUAAUCCUCCUUUAAUAGAGAUUAAUGCUCAAAUUGUUAGUAGGUUGAUGUAACAGAAGAAGAUAAUCCUCCUUUAAUAGAGAUUAACGAAGCUUCCAUUUUCAAGUAAAGCUUUCAAAAUUGUUUUACGCCAUCAUCUAGAAUAUGCUAUUUCUUUAUCAGGCUGUAUAAUCUAAAUUUUCUUUUACCUUCAGGCCUAUGUCAGUAAAAGCGCGCAUGGGUUGAGUGGUUGAAUUGAUUCCAAAACGUUUGUUUGAUAUUGUGUGGUCUUUCGUUUGGUUUACUCAUGAACUGCAAAGAAAUGGUUGUUUGGUUUACUUACGAACUGAUUCCGAAAUGGUUGUUUGAUAUUGUGUUGGCUGCUUCAUUUUGGUUUUGUGCCGCUGUUCAUUUUGGUUAAUUAGCAUGGGAAUACUUAUAGAUGUUGAUUAUUGUGAUCACUUUGAAGUUUUUCUUUAUUAUUACCAUUUAAUAAUGGGUCAUUAUGAUGAUUUUAGAAUCGAGUUGCCAAAAAUAUGCCUGGCCAAUUGCUGCAUUUUGGUCAACGGCUGCAUUUUAAUUUGAUGUUGCUGGUGUUUUUGGUUUAUCCUUUAUGGUCAAUAGCUUAAAUGGGUUUUAUAAAUUAUUCAAUUUACCUUUUGGAUCCAUAUGCGAAAAAACAAACCUUUGAACGAAAUUCACAAAAGUGAGAUGCUAUUUAUGUGUUGGUGUCACAGAACAUGCAAAUCCUCUUUCAUAUGCUGAUGCUGUAAUUGGUACGUAAUUGGUACGUCGGGCACUAAUAUUAGUUAUAUUAGACGAGCUAGUGGUGCAACCAUUGCUAUACAAGAAACAAGAGGUGUUCCUGAUGAAAUGACUGUUGAGAUUAACGGUUCAGCUUCACAAGUUCAGACAGCUCAGCAGUUGAUACAGAAUUUUGUUGCUGAAGCGGCAACUGCAACUCAGAAUUCAACUGCUCAGCCACCUGCCCAAGGAAGCUAUAACCCUUACUCGGGUCAUGCUCCUGCUUACCCGUCUCAACCACCUCCUGUCGCCCAUGCACCGCCACCUGCUGCUGACUAUGGUGGAUCUGUGUAUGGAGGGAAUAACGGGUAUUAAAGUGUGUGGUGACUGAAUAACCUUGUAAAGUUAUCUUUAUGUUUGGAGGGAGCAAGGGUAAUGUUGUAACGAGUAAUAGCUAGGUCUUUUGUCGUUUAUCUUUUUAGAACUUGAAACGUUGCGGCUUGCUUGGCCUCUCACUUCUCAGUUUAUGCAAAAUUGUGUUCUGGAUGAUGUUUUCGGAUCUAAUUAAGGUUUUACUUCAUAUCUAGAUUUACUAUUA